AGAGUUUGAUCCUGGCUCAGGAUGAACGCUAGCGGCAGGCCUAAUACAUGCAAGUCGAACGGGUUUGAUCAGCAAUGGUCAGACUAGCGGCGCACGGGUGCGUAACACGUAGGUAACCUACCUGAUACUGGGGCAUAACGAUGGGAAACCAUCGCUAAUUCCGCAUAAGAUCAUGACUCGGCAUCGAGUAGUGAUUAAAGAUUCUCGCAAGAGAGCUUGGUAUCAGAUGGGCCUGCGGCUGAUUAGCUAGUUGGUGGUGUAAGGGACCACCAAGGCUGUGAUCAGUAGGGGUUCUGAGAGGAAGAUCCCCCACACUGGCACUGAGAUACGGGCCAGACUCCUACGGGAGGCAGCAGUAGGGAAUAUUGGGCAAUGGUGGCAACACUGACCCAGCCAUGCCGCGUGCAGGAAGAAGGCGCUCAGCGUUGUAAACUGCUUUUGCCGGGGAAGAAUGGGUGGUACGCGUACCACUAGCGACGGUACCUGGUGAAUAAGCACCGGCUAACUCCGUGCCAGCAGCCGCGGUAAUACGGAGGGUGCAAGCGUUGUCCGGAUUUAUUGGGUUUAAAGGGUGCGUAGGUGGCUUGUUAAGUCUAAGGUGAAAGGCAGUGGCUCAACCACUCGCAGGGCCCUGGAUACUGGCAGGCUCGAGUGUAGGUGAGGCCGGUGGAACGGGUGGUGUAGCGGUGAAAUGCAUAGAUACCAUCCAGAACACCGAUUGCGGAGGCAGCCGGCUAACCUACAACUGACACUGAGGCACGAAAGCGUGGGGAGCAAACAGGAUUAGAUACCCUAGUAGUCC
rnacentral:rRNA from 1 species